UACGAGUGGCCCGAGCGUUAAUCGGAAUCACUGGGCUUAAAGGGUGCGCGGGCGGCCUGGCUGGCAUCUCGUGAAGUCCCCCGGCUCAACCGGGGAACUGCGGGGUGAACCGCCGGGCUUGAGGCAGGUAGGGGCUGACGGAACCAUGAGUGGUGCGGUGAAAUGCGUAGAUAUUCAUGGGAACGCCGAUGGGGAAGCCGGUCAGCUGGGCCUGUCCUGACGCUCAGGCACGAAAGCGUUGGGAGCAAACAGG
rnacentral:rRNA from 1 species